rnacentral:miRNA from 1 species
AUCAGCAUCACCUGGGAUCUUGUUAGAAAUGCAGAAUUUUAGGCCAUCCCCAGACCCACUGAAGCAGGAUCUGUAAUUAAUUAAUAAGAUCCCCAGGUGAUUCUUAU